GACUGGAUAGCCUAGUGGUAAAGGCAUCACAUUUACAAUGUGGAGGUCCCAGGUUCAAAUCCUGGUCUAGUCA
rnacentral:tRNA from 1 species